UACGAAGGGGGCUAGCGUUGCUCGGAAUUACUGGGCGUAAAGCGCACGUAGGCGGUCUUUUAAGUCGGUGGUGAAAUCCUGGAGCUCAACUCUGGAACUGCCUUCGAAACUAGAGGACUUGGGUACGGGAGAGGUGAGUGGAAUUCCGAGUGUAGAGGUGAAAUUCGUAGAUAUUCGGAAGAACACCAGUGGCGAAGGCGGCUCACUGGCCCGUUACCGACGCUCAGGCGCGACAGCGUGGGGAGCAAACAGG
rnacentral:rRNA from 1 species